GAUGAGGACAGGAACAGCAAGUAGUUUGCACCUUCAAAAUGAAGCAAUGGAUUUUCCCAUGAGUAGACAAGAGCUUCCUAUCUGCAUGAAUGGAAGCUGUUUCCCAGUAUGGAAUGCAUAUCAGCCUGUGAAAAUGUAUAGUGAAACGGGAGCUCUCUAGCAGAGACCACUAGAGCAAUCCACCUCUUUCUGCUGGACACUAGCUGAUGGCCCACAGCAUAUGUUUGUGCUUUCCAGCACGUACGAAUACUGGAUAACUAGACAAUUUCAUCAGCAUGUGCAAAUGUGGAUGCUUUUACAAAUGCGUGAGUCUUCGAUUUAAACAGGUAAAAUACAUUUGAAUGAGCAUGUCACAGCAAUGUGGAAUAUCUUUAACACAUAGCAAAUGAAUAAAUAUUUAUACUCCGCACAGGAUUUUGCCAGAAUUACUGGAGAUGGUAUUUGGCUAGAUUUCUCCAAGAAUCAAAACCUGAAGAAAGAAACGCUAAAAUGAAAGGCACUGUUGUUAAAUGUAUUAAAAACAUGGUUUGACACUAGUUAGUUGUUCAGUUCUUCUGUCACUUUUGCAGCUUUCUUACCUU